GGGUGCGAUCAUACCAGCACUAAUGCACCAGAUCCCAUCAGAACUCCGAAGUUAAGCGUGCUUGGGCGAGAGUAGUACUAGGAUGGGUGACCUCCUGGGAAGUCCUCGUGUUGCCACCC
rnacentral:rRNA from 1 species